AGUGGCGUUCUCUGCACCCACAAGGGACCUGCUGAUUCCAUCAGGCAGCCUCCUUUUGCAGGCACAAGCCAAAGGUCAAAAUUCCAGUUCAGUGAAAGAAGGUCCUCCUGCCUUCGAGCUCAUGGUGCCAGCCUCUCACAGGGGCCUUCGGUGUGCUCAGAUGGAAAUGAAGGAAGCCAGAAGUGAAGCGACCAGCUCAGGUGAUACAGCUAGAAAGUGCUUUAGAGCUGGGGCCAUGGGCAGAUGAGCUGACCACAGGUCACACUCCUGACACCAAACCUGGCUCUGCGAAGAUGAUGUCGAAGAACUCCUCCUCGGCCUUGCUGACCAGCGCCUCCAGGUCUACGGCCAGCUCCUCAUCGGUCUGCUCCUCAUCCCUGCCCUCCGCCUUACCCUUCUCCUUCAGCCGCAUCUCCCGGUGCCUGGCCUCCAGGAUCUUCUCUCGCCGGGUCUCACGCUCAAACAUCUGGGCACCCAGGGACAGAGAGAGCCCGGUGGGGAGAGGGCAGGAUGGCAAGCGACUCCAGUGCUGGGGCCAGGUGGGGCUUCUGCUGAGCUCUCCUUGCUCUCCAUACAGUCCCUGUACUGUAGAGGUCUGUACCCAGGGCUGGUGUCAAGGAAGGAGGGCUGAAUAUUGGGGUUGGAAGGCUGCAGCAGGGACACUGAGUUACUCAAUGCCAAGGAGCAUGGAGUUCCAGAACCACAGGCAGAAGAGCGCCCUUUGGAGCUAUGAAAUAUGGCGGCUUUGGCCCAACAAGGACCAGCUCAAUGGUAAAAAACUGAAUCCUGGAGAGUGACGUGACUUACUGAAGGCCACUUAGCUACCCAGCAGUUGAGCAAAGGCAAAUGGACACACCAACACCUAUUUAUGGAGCCCACACUGCUUCCCCCAAAAUGUGCACCUAUGUUCUGGGGGUGGGAG